ACAAGAUCAAAAGGCUUCUCCACAAAAGAAAAAUAUUGAUCAGCUAGACUUAUCAAAUAUUAAACACAUUUUGUGGUUACGAGAGGAAGAGAUAAGGGUUGGGGAAAUUGGACAAAGGUGGUCAAAAGGUACAAACUUUCAGUUAUAAGAUAAAUAAUUACUGGGGAUGUCAUAUACAACAUGAGGACUAAAGUUAACACUGCUGUAUGGCAUAUUUAAAAGCUCUUAAGAGUAUAACUCCUAAGAGUUCUCAUCAC